GGGGGUCAUCCCGACUUACCAACCCGAUGCAAACUACGAAUACCGAAGAAUGUUAUCACGGGAGACACACGGCGGGUGCUAACGUCCGUCGUGAAGAGGGAAACAACCCAGACCGCCAGCUAAGGUCCCAAAGUCAUGGUUAAGUGGGAAACGAUGUGGGAAGGCACAGACAGCCAGGAUGUUGGCUUAGAAGCAGCCAUCAUUUAAAGAAAGCGUAAUAGCUCACUGGUCGAGUCGGCCUGCGCGGAAGAUGUAACGGGGCUAAACCAUGCACCGAAGCUGCGGCAGCGACACUAUGUGUUGUUGGGUAGGGGAGCGUUCUGUAAGCCUGCGAAGGUG
rnacentral:rRNA from 1 species